rnacentral:rRNA from 1 species
UCCUGGCUCAGAGCGAACGUUAGCGCGGGCCUAACACAUGCAAGUCGAACGCGAAAGGUCUUCGGACUGAGUAGAGUGGCGCACGGGUGAGUAACACGUAGGUAAUCUACCCUUUGGCGGGGGAUAACGUUCCGAAAGGAGCGCUAAUACCGCAUAAGACCACGGAGUCUCCGGACGCUGUGGGAAAAGGUGGCCUCUUCUUGAAAGCUACCACCGAAGGAUGAGCCUGCGUCCCAUCAGCUAGUUGGUAAGGUAAUGGCUUACCAAGGCGAAGACGGGUAGCUGGUUUGAGAGAAUGAUCAGCCACACUGGCACUGGAACACGGGCCAGACUCCUACGGGAGGCAGCAGUGAGGAAUAUUGGGCAAUGGGCGAAAGCCUGACCCAGCCACGCCGCGUGAGUGAUGAAGGCCCUCGGGUCAUAAAGCUCUGUGGAGAGGGACGAAAACCCUGGUUUCAAAUAGGCUCCAGGCUUGACGGUACCUCUUUAGCAAGCACCGGCUAACUCUGUG